UGGGCCACUGAUGAGUACCAUGGGGUAUCUGAAAUAGGAUCUUUGAUUAAACCCAUAUAUAACUCUGAGGUCCAU
ensembl:snoRNA